GUUGAGACUAUCAGUGUAGAAAGCAUGCGCUGUCCCAAAUCCGCUGUUACUAUGAGAAAUGAGGAGCUGCUUUUAAGGUAUGUUGUUGGGUCCUUUGUUUUUAACAUAGGCUUUUCUAGUUUUGAGAGCUGGUGGAGACGCCAAUCUUGCCCUGAAUCAAGCAGCUUCCUUAUCUUAGAAGAGAAAGAGAGAGAAAAAAGAAUCUAAACAGAGAGAGGGAAAUGAAAUUGAGACCAAGAGAUUGGGAGGGAGAGCGAGCAAGCCAGGGAGAGAAAGGAGAAGGACUGCUGUGAGGGAGUUGUGUGUGUACUAGUUGUCUUUUGAAAGCAGACCAUGCAUUUGCUCCCCGCUACCUAUGAGCAGCCAGUGGAUGUUUUAAGGGUUCCGAAUCUGGCUGUUGGUUCGUCUUUUCCUUUGCAAUGUCUAAGCCUCUUUCAUUAUUAUGCACUCUGCAUGGAAUAAUCAUCGAAAAAGGAGCUGAGGAGACUCCAUAUUAGACUUGCGUUCCAAAUACCACUCUAAUCUGGACUUAGACACCUAAAUAGUCCUCUCGUGUUAUCAGGUUUGGAUCACUUUAUCCUGCUUGCCAAAAUGUGUACCUGUUUGGAGACCUCUGUUCAUGCAUGGCGUCCUGGGUCCUCUUGUGCGGGAAAGCAGAUACCUGCUUCCUGCAUGGGUGGUGGGGUUCUAUCAUAGACCGAGAAGGAGACACAGCUGACCUUUUGGGAAGCGGAGAGAGAAUUAUGAUAGAAUUGGCAUCCUGCUUUUAAAAAUGCAGUCUUUUGUUUAUUUGCUAGCAGACAUUGUAGCACUGAAUACAUCUUUGGGUCUGACAAUGGGACCGGUGGAACAAUGGAGCUGUCAAACUAGCUUAAUGCAUGUCUGGGGCUGGUUUUCUGUUUGUUUGUUUUUUUUUUCCAGCACCCCCUUUUAUCUCCUAUAAUCUUGUUGUGUGGACUAUCAGAGGGAAGCUUUGGGUCUGCUUAUUUGUGGUUUUAUGCUUUUAAAAAUUUAUUAUCUGCCGUUCUCAGAGCUUUUUGCAUUUUGCAGUUAUGUUGGCUGGAUUAAGUUAGAGAUUUAUGGCUUGCCUCUCUGUUAACUACAGAAAGAAAACUUAUUGAUUGAGGAUGCUUGUAAUACUAUUAUCAUUGUGGCAAAUGCCUUGUUGAUCAGACCUGCUUCUACAGUAUUUACCGCCGAGGAUUUUAAAUGCUCCCUUUUUUUGGACCUAGGGAAUGUAGCAUAAAAGAGAAGUUAAGAAGGACAUACUUAAUGCUCAAGUAAUCAGUAUUCCUAGUUUUUAGCUUCCCCUUUGGCAUCCACAGACAAGCAGUUUAGAAAUCCAAGAAUAAGAACUUUUGCCUUUCCAAUUUUGGUCACCAACUAUUGUUCUGUUACUUUGUUAAGUGAAAGGUUUCGAUGGAAUAUAUUGAUCUUUGAUUUGAUGUUUAUAUUCUUACAAACUGCAUUUCUAUGAAAGGCAAGUAUUUCACGUGUAUUCGGAUGCCCUUCAUUUCAUAAGAUAAACUGGUUUCUAAGGUGAAAAUACUGUAGGAGAGAAUAUGGAAAAAUCUGGUUCAAACUUCUCAAAUGCUGAAACCAUUUUUAUUCCACACUGGAUGUAAAAUAACUGAAAUUAAAAUAAUAAGUAAUAGAUUUACAUGAAAAUCCUCUUUUAAGGUUGAUGUCUAUAAAGAAUAUAUAUUUAUAGUGUUUUAGUGUUUUUGCUUAAUGAACCGUUUGUGCCAGAUCAAUAUUAUGAGAUAUGUAUUAGUAAGUUCAUAGACUAAAACCGAGAGCCCAAUAUGAGAAACAAAAGGGGAGUUGUUUCAAUGAAUAAAAUAAAAGAUAAAAUUGGUUUCAAAUAUUUCCUGAUAGAGUUUGGUACAAAUUAGGGAUGUCCCUCAUUAAUAAGGAAGGACAUACAUGUAUUACUUAUAAAAACACAAGUAUGAAGUACUAAUUAUUCCUUAGAUUCAGAGACAAACUUAAGUUGAAAUAUUAUUAAAUACUUAUUGUAUAAUUAUUUACCUAAAUGUUAUCGGCUAACCAGAAUUGCCUUUGCAAGUUGAGAUUUCCUACCGGUAAUAUUUCCAGAGCUUAGGUACACCAAAGCAUAUGUGUGUGGUGUAAUAAUAUUCUUCAAGUUAUCCAUUGUGAAUAGAGUGGGUUUUAAAGGCAUGCUUGUUAUGUUCUCUCGGUUCCAAUGGGAUCUGAACUGCUCCUUGCUUUGGGUAUAGCAAUAAUUGCUUUCAGGAUGAGCUCAUAAAAGGUAAUGGGUAAGGCUUCAUAUCCGAGGCUAACCAACUGUUACCAACACACCCCAGUUCUGCUUUCACCG
rnacentral:lncRNA from 1 species